CUACGUGCCAGCAGCCGCGGUAAUACGGAAGGUCCAGGCGUUAUCCGGAUUUAUUGGGUUUAAAGGGUGCGUAGGCCGUUUGAUAAGCGUGCUGUGAAAUAUAGUGGCUCAACCUCUAUCGUGCAGCGCGAACUGUUGAACUUGAGUGCGUAGUAGGUAGGCGGAAUUCGUGGUGUAGCGGUGAAAUGCUUAGAUAUCACGAAGAACUCCGAUUGCGAAGGCAGCUUACCGUAACGUUACUGACGCUUAAGCACGAAGGUGCGGGUAUCGAACAGGAUUAGAUACCCUGGUAGUCCGCACAGUAAACGAUGGAUGCUCGCUGUUGGCCUUUUGUGGUCAGUGGCUUAGCGAAAGCGUUAAGCAUCCCACCUGGGGAGUACGCCGGCAACGGUGAAACUCAAAGGAAUUGACGGGGGCCCGCACAAGCGGAGGAACAUGUGGUUUAAUUCGAUGAUACGCGAGGAACCUUACCCGGGCUUGAACUGCAGCUGAACGAUUCAGAGA
rnacentral:rRNA from 1 species